rnacentral:rRNA from 1 species
UUUAGUUCAGACCCCGGAAACUAAGUGAGCUACCCCGAGACAGUCUAUUAAUUAGGACCAACCCGUCUCUGUGGCAAAAGAGUGGGAAGAUCUCCGGGUAGAGGUGACAGACCUACCGAACUUAGUUAUAGCUGGUUGCCUAAGAAAUGAAUAGAAGUUCAGCUUCGCACUCCUCAACUCACAGCUAUUUCUAAUAACAUAAGAGUCAGAGCAACAUGCGAGAGUUAAUCAAAAGGGGUACAGCCCUUUUGAAACAGGACACAACCUUACCAGGAGGUUAAAGAUUACAUUAUACAAGAUACACCGCUCUAGUGGGCCUAAAAGCAGCCAUCUAGACAGAAAGCGUUAAAGCUCGGGCGGAUCAAUAAAUCUAUUAUCCAAAUAUCCAAUCUAAAACCCCUAAUCAUAUUAGGCCAUUCCAUGCAAACAUGGAAGAGAUACUGCUAAAAUGAGUAAUAAGAAGGAACCCCCUUCUCCUAGCCUACGUGUAUGCUAGAUCGGACCCCCCACUAGCAAUUAACGAACCCAACCAAAGAGGGCAAUGUGACCACACCAAAAACCAAGAAAACCCCACAUCAGCUCAAUCGUUAUCCCCACACCGGAAGGCAAUACAUAGGAAAGACUAAAAGAAAAGGAAGGAACUCGGCAAACACAAGCCUCGCCUGUUUACCAAAAACAUCGCCUCCUGCAAACCUCAACGUAUAGGAGGUCUUGCCUGCCCAGUGACAAGUUAAACGGCCGCGGUAUUUUGACCGUGCGAAGGUAGCGCAAUCACUUGUCUUUUAAAUGAAGACCUGUAUGAAUGGUGGAACGAGGGCUUAACUGUCUCCCUUCUCAGGUCAAUGAAAUUGAUCUGCCCGUGCAGAAGCGGACAUAUAAAUACAAGACGAGAAGACCCUUUGGAGCUUAAGAUACAAGAUCAAUUACGUCAAGAACCUGGCACCAGGUUAAACUAAGUAAAAACUGAUCCACAUCUUCAGUUGGGGCGACCGCGGGAGAAAAUAAAGCUCCCACGCGGACCGGGGUUUUAACCCUAAAACCAAGAGAGACAUCUCCAAGUCACAGAAUAUCUGACCAUAAAGAUCCGGCUAACUGCCGAUCAACGGACCAAGUUACCCUAGGGAUAACAGCGCAAUCCUCUUCCAGAGUCCAUAUCGACAAGAGGGUUUACGACCUCGAUGUUGGAUCAGGACAUCCUAAUGGUGCAGCCGCUAUUAA